AACACACAGCAGGAGUUCCGAUUCAAGACUGGCUCCUGCGCUUUCCAGCCGUGUGGCCUGGGGAAACAUCUUUUAACCCCAAUGAAGCUGCCAUUUUGGUAGGUUAAAAUGGUCAGAUAUCAGCAAUUUCAUAAGGUCCCACCUGAAUUGCUUAAAAGAAUAGAGUGUGGGAGUACUUUUCCAAUGGGCAAGCCUCGUCCUACUACAGGGCAGUAACGCGUUCCCCACGCAGUCACCGAGUAUCUCUGAGAUGUCGGCGUGGGGCUAAGUUGGUCCGUAGUGUGGACCUGCUUAAUCCCUGUAGCAACCCCAAAAAUGGAUGUGGCUGUUUCCGCAUGUUGUAGAUGAGGCAGCUGAGGCUCAAACAGCCCAAAUCUCAUGCCUCAGGACGUUCUACUAGAAUGUGAAGCCACUGGGAUUUGAACCCAGGUAGUCUGGCUUCAGAGUCUGGGCCCUUCACUAUUAAUUAGUCAGCCAUCAAUUAAUUAAAGCAAUACAGUCAUUUGUUCGGGAAAUAUUUAUGGAGUUUUCUUUUAAUGAACCAUGUACUGUUCUAGGCAUUAGAAAUGCAAUGAUGAGGAAGAAGGAGACUCUUCUAUGGAGAGAGGGUUUGUGUUCUGAGGCUUAGUUGUCUGGGGCACGAGUGCUUGAAGAAGAGAAAAGCUCCCCGGGAUGCUUGCGCACGUGCUCCGGCAAGUCUGCAUCUGACUCUCAAGGCUGUUUUGUCACCUGAUCUCCCAGUGACUCUGAGAUGUGUGAGGAGUGCGGCUCAAGGAGUGGGGAGCUCAGGGACAUGCCUACUGCCACUCAGCAGGUGCCCAUUGGCUUUUGAGUGCGUGACUUCUGCAAUAAAGGAGGAAUUGAAGACGGGCUCAGAGGUAUGUUCCUCAAACACUGAUAGGGCAUCUACUGUGUGCAAGGCCUCCAUGGGCACUGGGAGGUCCAUCCAGGACUGAGACAAACCCUGUGUUUUGGUGUACCUCAAUGUUUAAGGACUUAGGUCCUGGAACAAGAUAGCCGGUGUCAGAAUUCUGAUUUUACCAUUCAUUCACCAUCGGUGUGGCUUCGGGCGGGUUCCCUCAAGUAUUUGAGCCUCAAUUUCCUCAUCUGUGAAAUGGGGAUAAUACUAAUAAAAAUAAUACAAGGUAAUUGGGAGAAGUAAUGAGUUAAUUUAAAAAGACAGCCGGAAUCACAGAUAAUGAAGUUUUAAUUUGAAGCCCCAGUUGGUCAGCUGUAACUUCAGAAAUCUAGAGCCCUGAUCAUCAACAUACAGUCUGAAGACCACAGCCUCUGAGCCCCCAGGAGCUGAUGAGGAGUGCAGAAUCUCAGCCCACUCACACUGGCUGUGUGGGAAUCUGUGUUCUAGCAGACCCCCAGCGGAUUCAUAUGCACAGUUGGGUUGGAGAAGUGUUGCUUUACGUUAAAACAAGGAAGGAAGGGGCUGCUCUCAGGUCACUGAACGUUCACUGAUGCUUAAAGGCCUGUGCUGUGUAGACAGAUGUGGCU
rnacentral:lncRNA from 1 species